AUUGAACGCUGGCGGCAUGCCUUACACAUGCAAGUCGAACGGCAGCGGACCUUCGGGUGCCGGCGAGUGGCGAACGGGUGAGUAAUAUAUCGGAACGUACCUUUCAGUGGGGGAUAACGUAGCGAAAGUUACGCUAAUACCGCAUAUUCUGUGAGCAGGAAAGCAGGGGAUCGCAAGACCUUGCGCUGAUUGAGCGGCUGAUAUCAGAUUAGCUAGUUGGUGAGGUAAAGGCUCACCAAGGCGACGAUCUGUAGCGGGUCUGAGAGGAUGAUCCGCCACACUGGAACUGAGACACGGUCCAGACUCCUACGGGAGGCAGCAGUGGGGAAUUUUGGACAAUGGGCGCAAGCCUGAUCCAGCCAUGCCGCGUGAGUGAAGAAGGCC
rnacentral:rRNA from 1 species